GAUGGUGACAAGUGAUAACAAAGCCUGUAAACAAACUUUGCAAAGGCUCUUCGCUCAAACCUUUUUGUGGCAUAACCACAACUGAAUGAGCAGUUUGGCGUGCGAUGCUAUGUUAGCCACAGGUGGCUAAUCGACUGAAUGAGCAGUCGGGCGAGUGAUGAACAGAAACAAAGAGUGUAUUAUUAUUAUUGGCUCGAGGGAAACCCGAACAGGAAGGGCUCUACCGGAAUAUCGGCGAGCUGCACCGAGAAGCAAGACACGACCCCAUUAGACUCAGAGAUUCCACACACAGAGAGGAUGUGCUGCAGACGGCGGGCCGUCCUUUUCGCUAUUUGUCUGCUCUUGGGGACCGCGUGCUCUGAGAAGCAGCUGUGGGUGACCGAGGGUGACAGCGCCAUCCUCCCCUGCCUUCUCUCACGUCCCUUUCCCCCUCUGAAUGAGAUCACUGUGGCCUGGCAAACCAAAGAGGAGAAGAAGAAGAAGGGCCUCACGUUCUCUUCAGGAGAAGAGAAGCCGGUGGAGGAACGAGACCAGAUGCUUAAUUUCUUUGCUAAAGGCAAGGAGGACUCCAGACAUCAGUCCCCCCCCUACAUCAACAGGACCCGUCUCAUCAGUGACCAACUGCAGGCUGGGAACUUCAGUCUGGAAUUACUCAAUGUCUCUAUGCGCGACAACAACACCAUCGUCCAGUGUGUUGUAUCCUAUUUUAGAGGAACUAAUUAUUAUUAUUCUUGUCGUAGCAAUGUGACCUUACUGGUGAAAAGGAGAGGAGAUGGUAAGGAUUAUGUCACGCUCCAUUGCUUAAAUUAGCAACACUGCAUCCAAUCACUCAAGUAGUCAAUCAAUAAAUCAAUCAAUCAGUUACUUAAAAAGAACCCA
rnacentral:lncRNA from 1 species